UCCCUAGUAGCUCAGUUGGUAAAGAGUCUGCCUGCAAUGCAGAAGACCUGAGUUCGAUCCCUGGGUCGGGAA
rnacentral:tRNA from 1 species